GAGUCGCUUGGGGAUUGAGCGAGUUGGGUGGGAUCGAGCGAGUUGGGUGGGAUCGUCCGAGCUCUUGGACGGUCUGAGGGGGAGGAGCAGGACGCCUGGGCGUGCAGGUCGCCCACGCGCUCUGUCGUCUUGCAGUGUCGCUCUUGGCUCCCGAAGGACGCUGCGGGUCGCCGUGGCGCUCCCCGGGUGACCGUGCAGUCCCGGUCUCCCCGCCGCGGGCUGGUGUCACAGCUGUGAGGUCGGGCUGGGCCCUCCGGGGCGGGAAGGACGGACUGGUUCUGCUAGACACCGUUGAGCAAGCUCAGGCGUGUGUUCUUGGAUCGCAUUCUCUUAUGUGGAAAUUUUUGUUUAAGUGGGAUAAGAGCAAAGGGAAGAAGAUAGCAAGACCUCGAAGAUCCGAGCGUGAAAUGUUUGAUCCCUCGGGUGGGGUAGGAGAGCACCCUCUACGGAUGAGCACCAGGCACGAGCAUUACUGUAGCAGAGACUGGACCGGCUCGAGGAGGAAGGGGCUGGCGCGGAACACGAGGUAGCAGGGUGCUUACUGGAAGAGGAAAGCUGUUGGAGAUCAGAUCAUGCAAAGCCUUGUUAGGUUAAAUCAGGAGCUUGAGCUUGAUCUUCACGGAGUGAUCGUGAAGAGUUUGUCCCCCCUACACACACACUGUACUGGGGAUUGGGGAUCAAACCCAGGGGCGAUCUACCACUGCUAUAUCCUCAGGCUUUUCUUUUUCUGUUUUUAAUUUUGAGACAGGUUUUGCUGAGUUGUCCAAGUGGGACUCGAACUUGGGGUCUUCGUACUUCACCCUCCCUUGGUGAUUACAGGCGAUCUUUCAUCUAGAACUGAGAGAUUAAAUCUCUGUUGCAACCCCAGGAAACUAAUACGAGGCUCAAGAUAACCACGGGAUAAGUUUGGAGACCCACUGGGCCCACUUUAAGAAGGAUAUCUGAGUGAAAACUCCUUGCUCAGUUGACCAUCUAUCCGGAAGUACCCACACUAAAUGAAAAAGUGCCAGAAUACCAUGGAGAAAAUGAUCUGAUUGAGAACUAAGAAGUUUCCACCCAAAAUCCAACUGCAAGGAAGUCCUGGGAAAAUGACUGUGUACGCCUCUGAUCUGGCUACUCUUGUCCCCUGGAGGCCGGGCCAUCCUACACCAGCCCAGUCUGACAUCUUCCACACCCCAAAGAAGGCCCAUACCUGACUCUAUGUAAGGUGGAGAUGACUUUGGUUCAAGACCAUGAAGACUUAUGGUCACCAGAGUGGCCCUUAUAUUAAGAUAGUUCCUUGGGAACCUUCCAAAUGGUCAUGUUCCUAGCUUGAACCCAGAAGCUACUUAUUGUCAAUAAAGUAAACAUGAUUUCCCUAACCCAUCUGGUCAUGUAAACCUCCUUUAUGUCAGACUUCACUGAGGAUCUUUACAGCCUGGAGGAAAUACUCAGAUUAGG
rnacentral:lncRNA from 1 species